UACGGUGCUGAAGCAACAAAUGCCCUGCUUCCAGGAAAAGCCUCUAAGCAUCAGGUAACAUCAAAUCGUACCCCAAACCGACACAGGUGGUCAGGUAGAGAAUACCAAGGCGCUUGAGAGAACUCGGGUGAAGGAACUAGGCAAAAUGGUGCCGUAACUUCGGGAGAAGGCACGCUGAUAUGUAGGUGAAGCGACUUGCUCGUGGAGCUGAAAUCAGUCGAAGAUACCAGCUGGCUGCAACUGUUUAUUAAAAACACAGCACUGUGCAAACACGAAAGUGGACGUAUACGGUGUGACGCCUUCCCGGUGCCGGAAGGUUAAUUGAUGGGGUUAGCCGCAAGGCGAAGCUCUUGAUCGAAGCCCCGGUAAACGGCGGCCGUAACAAUAACGGUCCUAAGGUAGCGAAAUUCCUUGUCGGGUAAGUUCCGACCUGCACGAAUGGCGUAAUGAUGGCCAGGCUGUCUCCACCCGAGACUCAGUGAAAUUGAACUCGCUGUGAAGAUGCAGUGUACCCGCGGCAAGACGGAAAGACCCCGUGAACCUUUACUAUAGCUUGACACUGAACAUUGAGCCUUGAUGUGUAGGAUAGGUGGGAGGCUUUGAAGUGUGGACGCCAGUCUGCAUGGAGCCGACCUUGAAAUACCACCCUUUAAUGUUUGAUGUUCUAACGUUGACCCGUAAUCCGGGUUGCGGACAGUGUCUGGUGGGUAGUUUGACUGGGGCGGUCUCCUCCUAAAGAGUAACGGAGGAGCACGAAGGUUGGCUAAUCCUGGUCGGACAUCAGGAGGUUAGUGCAAUGGCAUAAGCCAGCUUGACUGCGAGCGUGACGGCGCGAGCAGGUGCGAAAGCAGGUCAUAGUGAUCCGGUGGUUCUGAAUGGAAGGGCCAUCGCUCAACGGAUAAAAGGUACUCCGGGGAUAACAGGCUGAUACCGCCCAAGAGUUCAUAUCGACGGCGGUGUUUGGCACCUCGAUGUCGGCUCAUCACAUCCUGGGGCUGAAGUAGGUCCCAAGGGUAUGGCUGUUCGCCAUUAAAGUGGUACGCGAGCUGGGUUUAGAACGUCGUGAGACAGUUCGGUCACUAUCUGCCGUGGGCGCUGGAGAACUGAGGGGGGCUGCUCCUAGUACGAGAGGACCGGAGUGGACGCAUCACUGGUGUUCGGGUUGUCAUGCCAAUGGCACUGCCCGGUAGCUAAAUGCGGAAGAGAUAAGUGCUGAAAGCAUCUAAGCACGAAACUUGCCCCGAGAUGAGUUCUCCCUGACUCCUUGAGAGUCCUGAAGGAACGUUGAAGACGACGACGUUGAUAGGCCGGGUGUGUAAGCGCAGCGAUGCGUUGAGCUAACCGGUACUAAUGAACCGUGAGGCUUAACCUC
rnacentral:rRNA from 1 species